AUUGAACGCUGGCGGCAGGCCUAACACAUGCAAGUCGAGCGGAGCGGCGGACGGGUAAGUAAUGCCUAGGAAUCUGCAUGGGAGUGGGGGAGAAAGACAGGAAACGGGAGCUAAUACCGCAUACUCUCAGAUGAGGCUAGGCCGGAUUAGCUAGUUGGUGGGGUAAAGGCCUACCAAGGCGACGAUCCGUAGCUGGUCUGAGAGGAUGAGCAGUCACACUGGAACGGAGACACGGUCCAGACUCCUACGGGAGGCAGCAGUGGGGAAUUUUGGACAAUGGGCGAAAGCCUGAUCCAGCCAUGCCGCGUGUGUGAAGAAGGCCUUCGGAUUGUAAAGCACUUUAAGUUGGGAGGCGUUAUCAACAGAAUAAGCACCGGCUAACUUCGUGCCAGCAGCCACGGUAAUAC
rnacentral:rRNA from 1 species